UACGGUCAUAUCACACUGAAACGCUGGUUCCCGUACAAUCACCGAAGUUAAGCAACGUCGAACCUUGCCAGCACCUUGAUGGGUGACCGCUUUUCGAAUACCAGGUGUUGUUA